rnacentral:misc_RNA from 1 species
UAAAGCAUCAUAGAGAUGGCUAGUAAAAUUAUCACGGGUAUCCUCUCCUCUAAAGCUAAGGAACACAUCAUACUUUUGUUUUCGAGCCAUGGAGGAAGAUGCCAUAAUGGACUGUUACAAUAUACUGGUGACCAAAAAAUCACUUCAAGUUGGAAUUCAGCAAAGGCUCCCUCGUCUCCUGGGAAACUUGAUGAUUAGAACCUUGAUUUACAGUGAAAAGAUCAUGAAGGCAACA